rnacentral:tmRNA from 1 species
GGGGCUGUUUUUGGAUUUGACAAAAUUAUCAGCAAAGUAAAGUGCAUGCCGAGGGACGGUUUGCCUCGAAAAAAACCGUAAAAAAAUAGCUGCAAAUAAUAACAAUAAAAACUACGCUUUAGCAGCUUAAAAAACUGUUUUAAAGCCUUUCCUUCUUAACCUCCCUCUUUAGGAAUAAGAAAACAAGAAAGUCAUUAAAAAGAGAAAACGUGGACAUUCAGCUUGGAAAUGACACGAAAUAAUAUUACAAGCUAUAUAUCUAAAAUGCGUUUUUCCAAAUUAGAUAAUGAAAUUAAUACAGAAAAACUAAGCAUGUAGUACUUUAUUAGUAGAAAUUUUGGACGCGGGUUCAAAUCCCGCCAGCUCCAAA